GCUAUGGCAUCAAUGGUUGCCCUUAAUUUGCUCCUAAAGUUAUCAACUAAAUCCUCACAAGCGGGAGGCAGAAUAGGUGGUGAAUAAAAAUAAAAUCUGUCAAAUCUGUAGCAAAUUCAGAGGUAAGAUAGCGUUUCUUAUAUGUUCAGUAUUACCCUGUGCUGUGGGCAGCAAGGUAGUAUAACAUCCACAGUGGUGAUCAGAUAAAGCAACAUCAUCAAUAGAGGACAGAAAGCCCCUUGGUAAUAACCAGGUCCAGAGCAUGGCUGUGGGUAUGGGUGGGCCCAGUAGAAAGCCCCUUGGUAAUAACCAGGUCCAGAGUAUGGCUGUGGUUAUGGGUGGGCCCAGAUGAAAGCCCCUUGGUAAUAACCAGGUCCAGAGUAUGGCUGUGGUUAUGGGUGGGCCCAGUAGAAAGCCCCUUGGUAAUAACCAGGUCCAGAGUAUGGCUGUGGUUAUGGGUGGGCCCAGGAGAAAGACCCUUGGUAAUAACCAGGUCCAGAGUAUGGCUGUGGUUAUGGGUGGACCCAGAUGAAAGCCCCUUGGUAAUAACCAGGUCCAGAGUAUGGCUGUGGUUAUGGGUGGGCCCAGUAGAAAGCCCCUUGGUAAUAACCAGGUCCAGAGUAUGGCUGUGGUUAUGGGUGGGCCCAGUAGAAAGCCCCUUGGUAAUAACCAGGUCCAGAGUAUGGCUGUGGUUAUGGUUGGGCCCAGUAGAAUGCCCCUUGGUAAUAACCAUGUCCAGAGUAUGGCUGUGGUUAUUGGUGGGCCCAGUAGAACGCCCCUUGGUAAUAACCAGGUCCAGAGUAUGGCUGUGGCUAUGGGUGGGCCCAGUAUAAAGCCGCUUGGUAAUAACCAGGUCCAGAGUAUGGCUGUGGUUAUGGGUGGGCCCAGUAGAAAGCCCCUUGGUAAUAACCAGGUCCAGAGUAUGGCUGUGGUUAUGGGUGGACCCAGUAGAAAGCCCCUUGGUAAUAACCAGGUCCAGAGUAUGGCUGUGGUUAUGGGUAGGACCAGUAGAAAGCCCCUUGGUAAUAACCAGGUCCAGAGUAUGGCUUAUGGUUAUGGGUGGGCCCAGUGGAAAGCCCCUUGAUAAUUACCAGGUCCAGAGUAUGGCCGCGGUUAUGGGUGGGCCCAGUAACAUUUUGGAUAAAGUC
ensembl:lncRNA